UACAUUCACAAUCCAGAAAGCAGUGUCCUUGUUUUUCCUGGAAACUUGCUGAAAUGAUGCAUCCCGGACCCCUCCUCCAUUCCCCGGUCGUUUUGCAUGCCUUCUGCAUUUGAAUAUUGCCCACAAGGUUCAGGAAGCUUACUGAACCUUAAGAAGUUCCAUCCUUUAGCUGCAGUUGUAGGUGUGCUCAACAUGCCUAAGGAAACUGGGUUUCAUCCCAGCACCUUGAAAAGUCAGGCCAGAAGUCAACUUGCAUUAGAAAAUGUGCUAUUACCAAGAAGCAUGUCACCAAGACAACCGAAUAGAACUGUCCAGAGUAUGUCCUUCUGCAGAAAUAUCAAUUGAGACAACUAUCCAGGCAUGAAAUACCUUCAUAAGAACUAAACAAAACAGGGAAAGCUCCUUAAACCAGAAGAGAGUUGUGGCAAAAAAAGACACACUCAACCAAGAGUUGCGAUGAAAGCAAUGUGUCACAUGAAUUGCCAAUACUUACACUAGUUAAAAGAAGAAAGAAACAAAAGAAAAUAGAGCAUCAUUAUAUAAAAGAGUCAACUUAUCAAGCAGAACCAUCCCUUUAUUCUUCUUCUUUCCCCUACAAUGAAGUGAUUCUUUACAACAUCCUGUGCUCCUUUUAAAGCCCAUUGGUUCCUUGUGGUGCUGUCAGAAUGUACAUGAGGAACGUCUACUGAAGAAAGGAAAGCCUCUCAGAAGCCAAAUACCUGAAGAAAACUCACUCUGCCUCUCAUAAGAAUCCAUCAGUGGCCAAUAUCACCUCAGUGUUUCCACAGGACGUAUCCCAGAUGAUUGAGUCGGGGGAAAGUCUACAAAAGUUUGGAUGUUGAUUAUUUCCUAAUAUCCCAGAAAUGAGAGGAAAGCCUAAACAUGAUCUAGGAUUAAGGAUACCAGCUUUUGCAGAAGAACUAAAACAACUACCCAUGUCUAAACAAGCAACUACUAGACUCUUGGGCUUCCCAUUCACAACUGCCCAUUGUUGGGUUAGCUGGACUACUGACUAGUCACCAGCCAACAAACAGGCAUUAAAUUCACCAUCCUAAGGAAAUUAUUCAUACUCAAAACAUAACAGCCAAAAGUCAUGCACUUGAAGACUUCUGUCUCUACUCCUCUAUUCUACGGAUAAAGUGAAACCAUAACUUUCAGGAAAAGAAAACAUGAGAAUGUAGAUUACAAAAGUCGGAACUGACAAAAUACAUAAAGACCAUGGGAUGGAAUUUACAUUUUGAGGAUGGCAGAGUAAUGAAUCAGAAAGAGCCUUUGACACCAACGACUCACAGGAAGUCCCAACAUGUCUCCUUAAUAUCUUCAUAGUGGUCAUAUCAUUUGAAUAUGAAGAAGAAAAAGAGCAGGUGGAGGUAUUCAACCAUGCCGUCAAUCAACUAUGCAAUGCAACUAUGCAAUGACCAAUUAAAAGAAUAAGAAAUCUAAAUGAAUAGAUCUUUUAUUAUUAAUUUCAUUUAAUACUGGUUAAGCAAGAGAGACAGUUGAAUUAGGGUUUUUAAA
rnacentral:sRNA from 1 species